rnacentral:rRNA from 1 species
UUCAGAGGGGGACAACAGUUGGAAACGACUGCUAAUACCGCAUACGAUCUAACCUCGGCAUCGAGGAUAGAUGAAAGGUGGCCUCCACAUGUAAGCUAUCACUGAAGGAGGGGAUUGCGUCUGAUUAGCUAGUUGGAGGGGUAACGGCCCACCAAGGCGAUGAUCAGUAGCCGGUCUGAGAGGAUGAACGGCCACAUUGGGACUGAGACACGGCCCAG